GUGUAGAAUUUAUGACACAGCUGUUUGCUUCCUGCUAAGCCAAAAGUGUGGUUGAGAACGUGGCUGUUUUCUUGUCUGGCAAUGUUUUGGCCUCUUCAGAAGUUUUGUUCCGUGUUGGCUUUUGCAGUUUUAGGAGGUGGCCAGGGGAGAAAUUUGGGAGCUUUCCAAAGGGAUAACAGUGAGAUCUCUCUCCUUAAAGGAACUGGGCAUUAAACUGAAUUUCUUGUGUUCUGUUUGAGAAGCUGAAUCAUUUUGAGUGUUUGGACCAAGUCCCUCUCCUGAUCUUGCUUUGCAAUUUUCAGAUACAAAGAAUCUUUCUUGGUGACUUUAGUCAAGAGCAGGUACUGCAAAAAAAUGUGGUUCUGAGGAAAAAUUUUUUGUCAAUACUGAUCAUCUUUAAUUGUGUUCUAAUAGAUGCUGGCAGCUUUCUUUGGAACAGACAGCAGGUGGUGCAACUACCCCACUUAAAGCUACUGAACCAGCAGUUCCUGGCUAGGCUGGCACAGCGAGGGAUUCUGUGCAUCGAGUGGGAUGUUGCCUGGAGCUGAGAAUGGCUUGUUCUGUGACCUGCUUUCAUGCCAGUUUGCAGAGCUGCCAGCAGAGUCUACCUAGCUAGAUUUUCUAAUAGCUAGGACUCAUGAUGCUUCCAGCAGGAUUCAUCCUCUUUGCCCUACUGAUAGGUGUGCUCCUCUUCCCCCAGGGCUGAAGCACUGUGGGCAACUCUUGCUUGUGCCUUGAAUCUGCAACUGCACCAGCAAGGGCUGCUUGGGAAGCAAAACAGUGCAUCCCAGGAGCACAUAGAACAGGCAUAGCUGGCACAGUGCUGCAGCUCUGUUGUUCUUCACCUGGAUGUUUCUUGCAGGAGCCUCUACUUCAAAUCCUACACUGCAGGGUGGGACUGCAAGGUCAUGGAGGACAGGAGAGGUGCCUGAAGACUGGAAGAAAGCCAAUGUCACCCCAGUCUUCAAAAAGGGCCAGAAGGAGGACCCAGGGAACUACAGGCCAGUCAGCCUCACCUGCAUCCCUGGAAAGGUGAUGGAGCAGCUCAUCCUGGAGGCCAUCUCCAAGCAUGUGGAGGAAAAGAAACCACCUAGGCUGUACCUGACACCACACUGGAGUCCUGCAGACCCCCUCCUGGGAGUGCUCCCCUCUGGGCAGGUGGGUGCCACCAGGAGCUGUGAUUCUGACCAGCUCUGCUCACUGUGAGGGGCAGGACAGUUGGGAUUUUGGCAGUUGUGAUGUGUGCUUGCCAGACCUGAACUGCAUCUUCAGGAAUAGCUCCUCAUCUUCAGGCACUGCCCAGCCCUUUCCCCUGGCUCUUCUCCUGCUCCUUCCAGCCAGGCAGCAGGUGACCUUUUGGAGAGAAAUGAUCCCAGCAUCAAUGUGGUAUUUUGCAUGCUGUCCCCUUGGGAUCCAUAAGUAUUUAUAGGCCAAGACUGGGUUAUUCUAAUCCUCUGCUUUGAGAUGUGCUGGCAAGGUUUGGCCACCUGGGGGUGGGGGUGGCUCCUCCGGGCAUUUUGCUUCCGGAUGAGAAUCUUGGAAAUGCUCCUGUGAUACUCACUGGGCUCUGGGCUGCCGAAGACUAGAGUGUCUCUGACAAGCUGCUUUGACAGUCUCUGACUACUCUUGCUCCCUGCACAGAAACCUGUCUGCAAAUGGGUUGCCUCUCCAUGAGCUGGUGCUGCACGUUCAGGCCCCCUG
rnacentral:lncRNA from 1 species